UGGGGAAUUUUGGACAAUGGGGGAAACCCUGAUCCAGCCAUCCCGCGUGUGCGAUGAAGGCCUUCGGGUUGUAAAGCACUUUUGGCAGGAAAGAAACGUCAUGGGUUAAUACCCGUGAAACUGACGGUACCUGCAGAAUAAGCACCGGCUAACUACGUGCCAGCAGCCGCGGUAAUACGUAGGGUGCAAGCGUUAAUCGGAAUUACUGGGCGUAAAGCGUGCGCAGGCGGUUCGGAAAGAAAGAUGUGAAAUCCCAGAGCUCAACUUUGGAACUGCAUUUUUAACUACCGGGCUAGAGUGUGUCAGAGGGAGGUGGAAUUCCGCGUGUAGCAGUGAAAUGCGUAGAUAUGCGGAGGAACACCGAUGGCGAAGGCAGCCUCCUGGGAUAACACUGACGCUCAUGCACGAAAGCGUGGGGAGCAAACAGG
rnacentral:rRNA from 1 species